rnacentral:rRNA from 1 species
AGUGGAUGGGGAGCAACCUAGUUGUGCGUGUGUAAAGGUAGUGCCAAGAAAAGCGAUGAUCAUGUUGAAAAUCAAUUCCCGGUACCCGAAACCGACACAGGUGGGCAAGUAGAGAAUACUAAGGGGCGCGAGGUAACUCUCUCCAAGGAACUCGGCAAAAUGACCCCGUAACUUAGGGAGAAGGGGUGCCACCGAGAGGUGGUCGCAGUGAAGAGGCCCAGGCGACUGUUUAGCAAAAACAUAGGUCUCUGCAAACUCGAAAGAGGAGGUAUAGGGGCUGACGCCUGCCCAGUGCCGGAAGGUUAAAGAAGUUGGUCAGUUUUAGGAUGAAGCUAGCGACUGAAGCCCCGGUGAACGGCGGCCGUAACUAUAACGGUCCUAAGGUAGCGAAAUUCCUUGUCGGGUAAGUUCCGACCCGCACGAAAGGCGUAACGAUCUGGGCGCUGUCUCGGAGAGAGGCUCGGCGAAAUAGGAUUGUCUGUGAAGAUACGGACUACCUGCAUUUGGACAGAAAGACCCUAUGAAGCUUUACUAUAGCUUGGAAUUGUGUUCGGGCUUCCUGUGCGCAGGAUAGGUGGGAGGCGUAGAAGGUAUUCUUGUGGCGAUACUGGAGCCAACGGUGAGAUACCACUCUCAGGAGGCUAGAAUUCUAACUUAAUUAAGGACAGUUUCAGGUGGGUAGUUUGACUGGGGCGGUCGCCUCCAAAAAGGUAACGGAGGCGUACAAAGGUUCCCUCAGACUGGUUGGAAAUCAGUCGAAGAGUGCAAAGGCAGAAGGGAGCUUGACUGCGAGAAGUACAGUUCGAGCAGGGUGGAAACACGGUCUUAGUGAUCCGACGGUGCUGUGUGGAAGGGCCGUCGCUCAACGGAUAAAAGUUACUCUAGGAUAACAGGCUGAUCUCCCCCAAGAGUUCACAUCGACGGGGAGGUUUGGCACCUCGAUGUCGGCUCAUCGCAACCUGGGGCGGAAGUACGUCCCAAGGGUUGGGCUGUUCGCCCAUUAAAGCGGUACGUGAGCUGGGUUCAGAACGUCGUGAGACAGUUCGGUCCAUAUCCGAUGUAGGCGUGAGAAUAUUGAGAGGAGCCUUCCUUAGUACGAGAGGACCGGGAAGGACGCACCGCUGGUGUACCUGUUAUGAUGCCAAUUGUAAACGCAGGGUAGCCAAGUGCGGAGAGGAUAACCGCUGAAAGCAUCUAAGUGGGAAGCCCACCUCAAGAUGAGUAUUCUGGUGUAAGGUCACGGGAAGACGACCCGUAAAUAGGCACGAGGUGGAAGUGCAGAGAUGUAUGAAGCCGAAGUGUACUAAUAGACCGUCGGCUUGAC